CAGAGUCAAGUUUCUCCCUCCCCUCCCUCGCUACUCUCUCCUCCCUCUGCAGGCUCCGGAUCAGGCUGCCAAUCUGUAAAUGAUGUUUUAGGUUUUUCUUUGUUGUUGUUUUGGUGCUGUGAAGCCUGCCUUGUUAACACCAGGUGCUGAAAGAUUAAAACUUAUCAAUCACCAUCAUCAAGGUGAGGAGGGGUAGGAUGGUUUCAACUAGUCCCAAAUUUCCUGGAGGAAUUUGGCCUCUUGUCAAUUUCCCUCUCCCGAGGCUGACAUUGCCAGCAGAGCAAAGUCCUCUCCAGCUGCCCACUCUCAGGCUUUACUAAGUUAAAAAUCUCUUAGCUUGGGCUCUGUGCUAAGCACAAGAAAGGGACCAACAUUUCUUGACUGAUAAUAUAUUAGUUGUUUCUUGCUAUUUGACUGUGAGACUCUAAGAAUAGUAUAUUUUUCUGGAAGCAGAGUUUUAACAACCUAGAAAGCUUAAUUAAGCUUUCCUGCUGCAUUGUUUAAAUUGAAUUAGUAGCAGAAGAGUAUUUUUAGAAGUGAAAUGAUAAUUUCAUGUAACAGAUAACAUGUCUGAAUAUUCUUAAACCUCUAUAUAGGCCAAAACAUAGCGACAGAAUUGACUUCACAAGUCUAAAAGUAUGAACGGUUUGCUUUUACACACGUCAUCACUAUCAUAUCUAUUUAUUCAAUUUAUACCUUGAAUUCCUUUUUCCUAAGUACAAAGUGAGCCGGGGUUGGGAGGAGAACUUUUAAAAGCACUUUACAAAUGUGACGGGCCUGGAGUGAUUUUUCAGUUCCUGGUUUUGCCGGUCUGGGUGGGCUCACUUCCUAGCUUUCAGUCUUGUUUGGAUUUUGUUUCUUUUAUUCAGAGGAACCAGGAUAUCACUUAGUGGUGACUGCUUUGUGUAUUACUUUGGAUAGUAAAAGUACCUGAUAUGGUUUGGCUGUGUCCACACCAAAAUCUCAUCUUGAAUUGUAACUCCCACAAUUCCCACAUGUCAUGGGAGGAACCCAGUGGGAGGUGAUUGAAUCAUGGAGGCAGGUCUUUCCCAUGCUACUCUUGUGAUAAUGACUACAUCUCACGAGAUCUGAUUAUAUAAGGGGGAGUUGCCGGGCACAAGUUCUCUUCUCUUGUCUGCUGCCAUGUGAGACAUACCUUUCACCUUCCGCCAUGAUUGUGAGGCCUCUCCAGCCACGUGGAACUCAGGUUUCAGUCCUUGAGGAGCGCUCACUAGGAUGGUAAUUGUUUGAUCGAUAGAUUAAGUGAGUUGGAAGACUCUCCAAGUGAAAAUUUAAAAUUACUGCAGUUUUGGCCUGAUGAUGUUAACCAGCAAGAACAGAAUCUGAAACCAGAUGAGCUGUUAGUACUGCUUUCAUCUGUUUUACAGCCACAGCGACAGCAGUUCCCUGGCUUCUGGAAGGAGUGUCGGUCUAUCCAAAAAAUGUACUAACAGAUAUGUAAAGUCUGUCAUCCAUUUGCAGCAAAUUUUGCCUACGGUAUGAAAUAGGAGUUCAAUUUGACAUUGAAUAUUGAUAUCUUAGCAAUAUUAUCUCCCAAUCUGUGAACACGAAAUUUCUUUAUAUUUAUUCAAAUUAUCUUUGGUUUUUAAUGAUGUUAAAUCCAAGUAUUCUUUGUGAUGCUGUUGUAAAUGGAAUUUUUUGUGUUGUUCAUUGCUAAUGUAUAAAAACCAAUGAUGUUUGUAUAUUAAUCUUGUAUCCUGCAACCUCAUUGAACUAGUUUAUUAGCUCUAGUAAUAUGUUGGUGUGAAUCCCUUAAUAUUUUCUACAUACAAGAUCAUGUCAUCUGCAAAUUGUUUUACUUCUUCCUUUCCAAUUUGGAUGCUUUUUAUUUCAUCUUGCCUACUGCUUUGGCUACAACCUCCAGUACAAGAUUGAAUAGAAGUGAUGAGACAGAACAUCCUUGUCUUAUUUGUGAUCUCUGGGGGGGAAGGCUUACAGUAUUUUGCAUCAACAUAUCAGCUACGGGUUUUUCAUAGAUGUCCUUUCUCAGGAUGAAAAAGUCCAUGUUUGGCUUUUUGAAUGUUUUCAUCUAAGAGUUUUGGAUUUUGCCAAAUGUUAAAUGCUUCUUCUGUAUGCAUUGAGAUGAUCUUGUUGUUUUUGUCCUUUAUUCUAAUAAUAUGGUGUACUACAUUGAUUUCUGUAUGUUGAAGUUUGUAUUCCUAAGAUAAAUCUCACUUGCUUAUGGUGUACAUUCCUUUCUAUAUGUUGCUGGAUUUACUUUCAUUAGUAUUUUGUUGAGGAUUUUUGCCUCUAUAUUGAGGGCUAUUGGCCUGUAGUUGUUUUCUUUGCCUGAUUUCUAAUGUGGGUGAUACUGAAUUGGGAAGGGUAUCCUCCUUCUCUGUUUUUUGGUGUUUGUGAAUAAUUGGUGGUAUUCUGUAAAUGUUUGACAGAAUUCACCAGUGAAGACAUCUGCUCCUGGACUUUUUCCCGUGGGAAGUUUGUUUUUAAGAGAUGGGAGUCUCACUCUCACCCAGGCUGGAGUGCAGUGGUGUGACAAUAGCUCACUACAGCCU
rnacentral:lncRNA from 1 species